rnacentral:rRNA from 1 species
GACGAACGCUGGCGGCGGGCUUAACACAUGCAAGUCGAACGGAAAGGCCCUGUUUUUGUUGGGUGCUCGAGUCGCGAACGCGUGAGUAACACGUAAGUAACCUGCCACUGACUUUUAGAUAAGUUCAGGAAACAUGGGCGCAUACUGGAUAGGAGCUCCUGCUUCAUGGUGGUGGUAGGAAAGCUUCGGCGGUUGGGGAUCGUCUCGCGGCUUAGGAGCUUGUUGGUGUGGUAGUGGCUUAGCAAGGUUUUGGCGGGUAGUCGGCCUGAGAGGGUGACCGGCCAAAUUGGGACUGAGAUACGGGCCAGACUAGUACGGGAGGCAGCAGUGGGGAAUAUAGAACGAUGGGCGGAAGCCGGAUGCAGCAACGCCGCGUGCGGGAUGAUGGCCUUCUGGUUGUAAGCCGCUUUCGCCUGUGCCGAAGCGAGAGUGACGGUAAUGGAUGAAGAAGCACCGGCUAACUACGUG